UACAGAGGGCGCGAGCGUUGUCCGGAAUCACUGGGCGUAAAGGGCGCGUAGGUGGCCACUAUAAGGCCGCGGUGAAAGUUCGGGGCUCAACCCUGAAUCUGCCGCGGCGACUGUAGGGCUAGGGCACCGUAGAGGCAGAUGGAAUUCCGGGUGUAGCGGUGAAAUGCGUAGAUAUCUGGAGGAACACCUGUGGCGAAGGCGGCUAUCUGGUCCAAUUCUGACGCUGAGGCGCGAAAGGUAGGGGAGCAAACAGG
rnacentral:rRNA from 1 species